GGGGGGGGGGGGGGGGGGGCGGGGGGGGGGGGGGGGGGGGGGAGAGGCGCUGCGUGGGUGGGGUGCUCGGGUGGCGAGCGGGUGGGUGACACGGGAGUAACCUGCCCUUGACUUUGGGAUAACUGCGGGAAACUGGGGCUAAUCCCGGAUAGGCGCUCCUGCUGCAUGGUGGGGGUUGGAAAGUUUCGGCGGUUGGGGAUGGACUCGCGGCUUGUCAGCCUGUUGGUGGGGUAGUGGCGUACCAAGGCUUUGACGGGUAGCCGGCCUGAGAGGGUGACCGGCGACAUUGGGACUGAGAUACGGCCCAGACUCCUACGGGAGGCAGCAGUGGGGAAUAUUGCACAAUGGGCGGAAGCCUGAUGCAGCAACGCCGCGUGCGGGAUGACGGCCUUCGGGUUGUAAACCGCUUUCGCCUGUGACGAAGCGUGAGUGACGGUAAUGGGUAAAGAAGCACCGGCUAACUACGUG
rnacentral:rRNA from 1 species